CAAUAGCGUAUAUUUAAGUUGUUGCAGUUAAAAAGCUCGUAGUUGGAUUUCGGUUAAGAGCGACCGGUCCGCCGUUUGGUGUGCACUGGUUGGUUUUAACUUCCUGUAGAGGACGUGCUCUGGGUUUAACGACCUGGACUCGGAGUCUACGUGGUUACUUUGAAAAAAUUAGAGUGUUCAAAGCGGGCCUACGCUUGAAUAUUUCAGCAUGGAAUAACGCUAUAGGACUCCUGUCCUAUUUCGUUGGUCUCGGGACGGGAGUAAUGAUUAAGAGGAACAGUUGGGGGCAUUCGUAUUUCAUUGUCAGAGGUGAAAUUCUUGGAUUUAUGAAAGACGAACUUCUGCGAAAGCAUUUGCCAAGGAUGUUUNCAUUAA
rnacentral:rRNA from 1 species